rnacentral:rRNA from 1 species
AUAAUGCAAGUCGAGCGGACAGAUGGGAGCUUGCUCCCUGAUGUUAGCGGCGGACGGGUGAGUAACACGUGGGUAACCUGCCUGUAAGACUGGGAUAACUCCGGGAAACCGGGGCUAAUACCGGAUGGUUGUCUGAACCGCAUGGUUCAGACAUAAAAGGUGGCUUCGGCUACCACUUACAGAUGGACCCGCGGCGCAUUAGCUAGUUGGUGAGGUAACGGCUCACCAAGGCGACGAUGCGUAGCCGACCUGAGAGGGUGAUCGGCCACACUGGGACUGAGACACGGCCCAGACUCCUACGGGAGGCAGCAGUAGGGAAUCUUCCGCAAUGGACGAAAGUCUGACGGAGCAACGCCGCGUGAGUGAUGAAGGUUUUCGGAUCGUAAAGCUCUGUUGUUAGGGAAGAACAAGUGCCGUUCAAAUAGGGCGGCACCUUGACGGUACCUAACCAGAAAGCCACGGCUAACUACGUGCCAGCAGCCGCGGUAAUACGUAGGUGGCAAGCGUUGUCCGGAAUUAUUGGGCGUAAAGGGCUCGCAGGCGGUUUCUUAAGUCUGAUGUGAAAGCCCCCGGCUCAACCGGGGAGGGUCAUUGGAAACUGGGGAACUUGAGUGCAGAAGAGGAGAGUGGAAUUCCACGUGUAGCGGUGAAAUGCGUAGAGAUGUGGAGGAACACCAGUGGCGAAGGCGACUCUCUGGUCUGUAACUGACGCUGAGGAGCGAAAGCGUGGGGAGCGAACAGGAUUAGAUACCCUGGUAGUCCACGCCGUAAACGAUGAGUGCUAAGUGUUAGGGGGUUUCCGCCCCUUAGUGCUGCAGCUAACGCAUUAAGCACUCCGCCUGGGGAGUACGGUCGCAAGACUGAAACUCAAAGGAAUUGACGGGGGCCCGCACAAGCGGUGGAGCAUGUG